rfam:Legionella geestiana strain ATCC 49504 Lgee_ctg004, whole genome shotgun sequence.
GUGGCUGGACGUCAAGUCGGGAACCCUUCAUGGAUUAUCUGCCAAUCGGCAGGGUAUGUUAUUCAACGAAUAUACUGUCA